rnacentral:rRNA from 1 species
UAGGGAAUCUUCCACAAUGGACGCAAGUCUGAUGGAGCAACGCCGCGUGAGUGAGGAAGGUUUUCGGACCGUAAAGCUCUGUUGUUGGUGAAGAAGGAUAGAGGUAGUAACUGGCCUUUAUUUGACGGUAAUCAACCAGAAAGUCACGGCUAACUACGUGCCAGCAGCCGCGGUAAUACGUAGGUGGCAAGCGUUGUCCGGAUUUAUUGGGCGUAAAGCGAGCGCAGGCGGAAGAAUAAGUCUGAUGUGAAAGCCCUCGGCUUAACCGAGGAAUUGCAUCGGAAACUGUUUUCUUGAGUGCAGAAGAGGAGAGUAGAACUCCAUGUGUAGCGGUGGAAUGCGUAGAUAUAUGGAAGAAUACCAGUGGCGAAGGCGGCUCUCUGGUCUGCAACUGACGCUGAGGCUCGAAAGCAUGGGUAGCGAACAGGAUUAGAUACCCUGGUAGUCCAUGCCGUAAACGAUGAGUGCUAAGUGUUGGGAGGCUUCCGCCUCUCAGUGCUGCAGCUAACGCAUUAAGCACUCCGCCUGGGGAGUACGACCGCAAGGUUGAAAC